CUUGCCCCUCUCCUGCAGUGUCUGCUCACCUACGCUGACACAAGUACAAUUUAUUCUCCAGAGGUUUUUCCUCCACUCUUUCUGCUAAGCAAAGGGUUAGCAGACAUUUCAGUGCCCUGCUUCCAGUCAGGGCCCAGCUCUGCUCUGUGGAGCCACCGCGGCUCCAACUGCUUUGCUGGUGCUGGUGCUGUGGGCUUGGGCCUGGAAGAGUGAACAGUCCAGUUCACAGUCCAAGCCCUGUGCAUUCAUGUCUGCUCAGGAGAGGCCUCUAAGGGUGUUACCUGUGUGGCACCAACUCAAUAAGCUGCACUUACGGAUUCUGAAGAAAACGUGGGCUGUCAUACAGGUCGGUAUUUUUCUUAAGAAGGUACAGAGAAUCCAGUUUCAACCCAUUUUAGCAAUGCUUAAUGAAACUCUGACCUUUAGCGCAGGGAUAUUAAUGAUGACAUUUUUAAUGCGGGACACCAGUGUUUUUGUUGGAGGACGCACAGUUGACAGAGAGAGAGAACCCAGCAUCAGGGAGAACUGUGCUGCCCUGAGCAAAUGCUUUGUUCUUACCUCCUAUUGACCAUUUUCCUCCCUUUCUUUUGGCCGCUAGGAAACCCAAAACUAAAUGAUCAGGCUAUCGUUGCUCUCACAUGGAGCCUUACAUUAUAUGUCUUAUAACCCCCUAGAAAGAUCAACCCUUUCAUUAGAAAAGCAGAUUCAGUCCUUAAUUUCAUGGUAUUAAAUUUUUCCUUGACUUGAUUUCAUUUUGCUCCCUUUUUUUCCCUCAUGUAACUUGGAUUUCUUCAUCUGCAUUAUUGUGGGAUUUCCAAAAGUGACCUCAGAUCCUUGUGUCCGGUGAGCUAAAGUGUGAACUUAAACACUCAACUACCAGUGAGUCGGUAAGCAUGUUGCCUCACGUUUACUGACGCCAAGCGGCAGGUUGCAUGUCUGUAGCUUUUUUCUUGUUAUGUCUUUUAACUCUUCUACAACCUAGGGACGCGGGUGAGUGAGGGAAAGCAGCGUAGCAGUGCCGUAUGAAAAUCCGGUUCUUCUUCCAGUCUACGCGAGUAGCCGAAAAGUCAGCAGGGACCCAGAGGCUGUGGAGCCGGACCGCGGAGCAGAGGCCAGGCCGGUGGGCAGGAGGAGAUUGGAUUACAGAGGACAUCGGGCAAUCCUAAUCAGCAGUCUGGAGAUUCAUGACCCCUCUCCACAGCCUGACUCCAGGGUACACGGGCAAGAUAAUAGUGACAACAGCCGUGAAAUGAAGGAGGCUGGCUUUCCAUGACCCCACACAUUCUGCCUAAGGCCACACACCUCCCAAAGGCCACAGUGAAUGAGCAGGCGGGCCUGGGCACUCAGGUUUCUCUGACAAGGAUGUUGGGGCCGAAGGGAGAAGGAAUGAAGUUAUCCAAGUUAACAGUGAGUGGCGGCACUGAGAUUUACCAGGCCAGGAUGCUUCCCAACAGCCAACAGCCAACAGCCUGAGGGUCGGCACAACUUCUUGUUUACUAUUACAGUACCUUACAAUACCACCACUUACUGAAUAUUUACCUGUUUUUUUGUUUGUUUGUUUGUUUGUUUUUUGGGACA